UCGAGGGGUAGUAUAGCAAUAUAUGAGACCGGCGCACGGGUGCGUAACGCGUAUGCAAUCUACCUUUUACAGAGGGAUAGCCCAGAGAAAUUUGGAUUAAUACCUCAUAGUAUAAUUGAAUGGCAUCAUUUAAUUAUUAAAGUUCCAACGGUAAAAGAUGAGCAUGCGUCCCAUUAGUUAGUUGGUAAGGUAACGGCUUACCAAGACAAUGAUGGGUAGGGGUCCUGAGAGGGAGAUCCCCCACACUGGUACUGAGACACGGACCAGACUCCUACGGGAGGCAGCAGUGAGGAAUAUUGGACAAUGGGCGCAAGCCUGAUCCAGCCAUGCCGCGUGCAGGAAGAAGCAUCUAUGGUGUGUAAACUGCUUUUGUACAGGAAGAAACACUCCCUCGUGAGGGAGCUUGACGGUACUGUAAGAAUAAGGAUCGGCUAACUCCGUGCCAGCAGCCGCGGUAAUACGGAGGAUCCAAGCGUUAUCCGGAAUCAUUGGGUUUAAAGGGUCCGUAGGCGGUUUAAUAAGUCAGUGGUGAAAUCUGGUCGCUCAACGAUCAAACGGCCAUUGAUACUGUUAGACUUGAAUUAUUGGGAAGUAACUAGAAUAUGUAGUGUAGCGGUGAAAUGCUUAGAUAUUACAUGGAAUACCAAUUGCGAAGGCAGGGUACUACCAAUGGAUUGACGCUGAUG
rnacentral:rRNA from 1 species